rnacentral:rRNA from 1 species
GACGAACGCUGGCGGCGUGCUUAACACAUGCAAGUCGAACGGAAAGGCCCUGCUUUUGUGGGGGGCUCGAGUGGCGAACGGGUGAGUAAAACGUGGGUAACCUGCCCUUGACUUUGGGAUAACUUCAGGAAACUGGGGCUAAUACCGGAUAGGAGCUCCUGCUGCUUGGGGGGGGUUGGAAAGUUUCGGCGGUUGGGGAUGGACUCGCGGCUUAUCAGCUUGUUGGUGGGGUAGUGGCUUACCAAGGCUUUGCCGGGUAGCCGGCCUUAGGGGGUGACCGGCCACAUUGGGACUGAGAUACGGCCCAGACUCCUACGGGAGGCAGCAGUGGGGAAUAUUGCACAAUGGGCGGAAGCCUGAUGCAGCAACGCCGCGUGCUGGAUGACGGCCUUCGGGUUGUAAACCGCUUUCGCCUGUGACGAAGCGUGAGUGACGGUAAUGGGUAAAGAAGCACCGGCUAACUACGUG